rnacentral:lncRNA from 10 species
CACAACACCACGCCUGGCUAAUUUUUUGUAUUUUUAGUAGAGAUGCAGUUUCGCCAUGUUGGCCAGGCUGGUCUUGAACUCCUGACCUCAGGUGAUCCACCUGCUUCAGCCUCCCAAUGUGCUGGGAUUACAGGCAUGGACAACCAUGCCCAGCUCAAAAUAGCAAAUAAAUUAAUUUCAUUCUUUCUACUGUAAUUGGGUUAAGACUGAACAGAUGACAGGCCUAGAAAUCAGAAGCUGGACAGCGCUCCUUCCUGCCCAGGAAGAACGGCUGCCUGUGGCUCCAAAGGAUCCAGCAAUGGCUCCAGAACCUCUUCCCAGAGGCAUCUCUGACCCUUCAUCCCAUCCCACCUGAUCCCCCUUGGGCAGCAGAUCUGAACCUGGCCCUCAGUAGCUCUCAGCCGGGCCUCCCUGCCUCCAGCCUCACCCUCUCCAGCUGACCUCACACACUGCUGCCAGACAUUCAUCCCCAGGCACAACCCUCCUCAAGCCUGGCUUCCCUCCAAAAGCUGCAGUAACUCCUAGUGACGACAUCAUGAGAAAUCAAGUCCAAACCCCAAGAUCUGCCGUUUAAGGCACUGCACCAUUUGGCCUUGAUUUCCCUCCCUGAUCUGACCUCCACUGGUCCUCCCACGUGCCCUUCCCACCUCUGGCCAAACUGGAUUACACUAGUCUUUGUUAGCAGUAAGGCCUCCCUCUGCCAUCCUGGGCUCUCACCAUCGGCUCCCUGUCCAAAUUCAAACUGUCCCUUCAUGCUGGGUGCAGUGGUGCAUGCCUGCAGUCCCAGCUACUUGGGAGGCUGAGAGGGGAGGAUCGCUUGAGCCCAGGAGUUCGAGACCAGCCCAGGCAACAGAGCGAUAUCCCAUUUAAAAAAAGAAAGAAAGAAAAGAAAACAAACUCUCCCUUCAGGAC